rnacentral:rRNA from 1 species
CAGCCGCCGCGGUAACACGUAGGGUGCAAGCGUUAAUCGGAAUUACUGGGCGUAAAGCGUGCGCAGGCGGUUUGUUAAGACAGAUGUGAAAUCCCCGGGCUCAACCUGGGAACUGCAUUUGUGACUGGCAAGCUAGAGUAUGGCAGAGGGGGGUGGAAUUCCGUGUGCAGCAGUGAAAUGCGUAGAUAUGCGGAGGGACACCGAUGGCGAAGGCAGCCCCCUGGGCCAAUACUGACGCUCAUGCACGAAAGCGUGGGGAGCAAACAGGAUUAGAUACCCCUGUAGUCCCUGUCUCUUAUAA